rnacentral:misc_RNA from 1 species
AACAACAAAAGUCUAUUUUAAAGCUUAGAGUUGUAUGAAUUGUUAUGCUGUAGAUUGUUAGUUUGGACUUUCGAGCAGUAUUAUAGGAAAGAUAUGUCACCAAUGGACCGUGAGUAUCAACAACGGAAGGAGGUAGCAGCAUUAUGUGCAAACUUAGUCACAUCCAACACUGAUGGACCACAAGUAUCAACUACAGAAAGAGAUCAUAUUUGCUGUCAAUUUACACAAAGUUCAGUCAAACCACAUUCUCAACAGUUAAUUCUGAAAUGGUCAUCAAGAGAAGCAAGUAAAAGGGCAGCUCGGUGUACUAAGCAACAAGCCACAGCGCUAAAGAGUGAGAUGUAGGCUGUCUACCCCUGUGACCUAUAGAUCACACGGAGACAACUUUACCGUUGCUUCAAGGCAACCCUUCAAGUCAGAAGCAAACUGAAGUACAAAUUAUGUAAGUGGAA